UACGAAGGGGGGCUAGCGUUGCUCGGAAUCACUGGGCGUAAAGCGCACGUAGGCGGCUUUCUAAGUCAGGGGUGAAAUCCUGGAGCUCAACUCCAGAACUGCCUUUGAUACUGGAGAGCUUGAGUCCGGAAGAGGUGAGUGGAACUCCGAGUGUAGAGGUGAAAUUCGUAGAUAUUCGGAAGAACACCAGUGGCGAAGGCGGCUCACUGGUCCGGUACUGACGCUGAGGCGCGAAAGCGUGGGGGAGCAAACAGG
rnacentral:rRNA from 1 species